GUCCACGCAGUAAACGAUGAUUACUCGCUGUUUGCGAUACACAGUAAGCGGCUUAGCGAAAGCGUUAAGUAAUCCACCUGGGGAGUACGUUCGCAAGAAUGAAACUCAAAGGAAUUGACGGGGGCCCGCACAAGCGGAGGAACAUGUGGUUUAAUUCGAUGAUACGCGAGGAACCUUACCCGGGCUUGAAAUGCAUUUUGACCGGCUCAGAGACGAGCCUUCCCUUCGGGGCAAAUGUGUAGGUGCUGCAUGGUUGUCGU
rnacentral:rRNA from 1 species